rnacentral:rRNA from 1 species
AUUGAACGCUGGCGGCAUGCUUUACACAUGCAAGUCGAACGGUAACAGCACUUCGGUGGCUGACGAGUGGCGAACGGGUGAGUAAUACAUCGGAACGUGCCUAGUAGUGGGGGAUAACUACUCGAAAGAGUAGCUAAUACCGCAUGAGAUCUAAGGAUGAAAGCAGGGGACCUUCGGGCCUUGCGCUACUAGAGCGGCUGAUGGCAGAUUAGGUAGUUGGUGGGAUAAAAGCUUACCAAGCCGACGAUCUGUAGCUGGUCUGAGAGGACGACCAGCCACACUGGGACUGAGACACGGCCCAGACUCCUACGGGAGGCAGCAGUGGGGAAUUUUGGACAAUGGGCGCAAGCCUGAUCCAGCAAUGCCGCGUGCAGGAUGAAGGCCUUCGAGUUGUAAACUGCUUUUGUACGGAACGAAAAGCCCUCUUCUAAUACAGGAGGGUCAUGACGGUACCGUAAGAAUAAGCACCGGCUAACUACGUG